AUUCCAAAUGCCAACACAACCAAGGGAUGGUCAGUUCCCGAUUUACCUAGAAUCCCUGGGUCUGACCAUCAUAGAUACAUCAUCAUACAUAUUUAUGCCUUGUUUCCCCAAUGUGCCGGGAUCAUAUGUGCAGGGUUAACGUCUUGUACCAAGAAUUGAUUGUACCAGGUAACAGAGUUUCGGUUGGUGCUGGUUGUACAGUAGCGUGAGGCCCAGCCUUGUGAGGGCUGUGACCGACUCGAGAUUGCCAGUCUGUC